CCUUUGUCCCGUGUGCUCUGGAGAUUGCAUCCCACGCAGGCAGCCCCCUUCCGUACAAGAGAGGCUGGCGGUUACCUUUCUUGGGGAGACGCGUCCGACUGCUUCAUUGUGGGGGCCUCAGGAGCGGAGGAUCGGGUCCCGCCCGAGGUGACGCGUAAACCCAGACUCUCAGCAACGCGGGUAGGAAGGACCCUUGAAGUUCCGCGGCGACCACGUCGGCUGAAACCAGCAGCCCAGGACAAGUGGACCAGCCAGCAAGACCCAGACCAUCCAAACCGGCUGAUCCUACGACAGGACCCAGAUGCCAGUGAAAGUGACCACAGCCCUGCUCUAGUCACCCCGGAAGCUGACCAGUCUACGCACGGCCGAAGCUUCGUCAAGGAAGUAAAUGUAGUUAGAAAUCUUAAGCCCAGUAAUUUUCCUUGUCAUCUUAAUUGUUUUACUAUUAACCUGUCGCUUUGCUCAACCCCCUCCUCUGGGCAAACAUCUCUUGUCCAUCCUAGGUACAAACAUGCUACUCUUCCCUUUG
rnacentral:lncRNA from 1 species